CCUACGGGUGGCAGCAGUGGGGAAUAUUGCACAAUGGGCGAAAGCCUGAUGCGGCAACGCCGCGUGAAGGAAGAAGGGUUUCGGCUCGUAAACUUCUAUUAACAGGGACGAAAGAAAUGACGGUAACUGAAUAAGAAGCACCGGCUAACUACGUGCCAGCAGCCGCGGUAAUACGUAGGGGGCAAGCGUUAUCCGGAAAUGCUGGGUGGAAAGGAUGAGUAGGGGGCAUGGUAAGCCAGAUGUGAAAGCCGUGGAGUUAAACCGAGGAUGGCAUUUGGAACUAUCAAGCUAGAGUACAGGAGAGGAAAGCGGAAUUCCUAGUGUAGCGGUGAAAUGCGUAGAUAUUAGGAAGAACACCAGUGGCGAAGGCGACUUUCUGGACUGAAACUGACGCUGAGGCACGAAAGCGUGGGGAGCGAACAGGAUUAGAUACCCGAGUAGUC
rnacentral:rRNA from 1 species